rnacentral:rRNA from 1 species
AUUGAACGCUGGCGGCAGGCUUAACACAUGCAAGUCGAGCGAGCGGCGGACGGGUGAGUAAUGUCUGAGCAACUGCCUGAUGGAGGGGGAUCACUACUGGAAACGGUAGCUAAUACCGCAUACCAUCAGAUGUUCCCCAAUGGGAUUAGCUAGGAGGUGGUGUAAUGGCUCACCUAGGCGACGCUCCCUAGCUGGUCUGAGAGGAUGACCGGCCACACUGGAACUGAGACCCGGUCCAGACUCCUACGGUAGGCAGCAGGGGGGAAUAUUGGACAAGGGGCGCAAGCCUGAUGCAGCCAUGCCGCGUGUGUGAAGAAGGAGUUCGGGUUGUAAAGCACGUUCAGAGAGGAGGCGUUACUCGCAGAAGAAGCACCGGCUAACUCCGUGCCAGCAGCCGCGGUAAUAC